CCUACUGUUUUUGUCCUUCGCCUCGGUCAAACUUCUCUAAAUUGGCAUUGUAGCUUAAACCCUGCUUAAAACCAAAGCCCAUUAAAACCGUCCUCAAAUUAGAGAGGAGCUCCAACAAUGUCGAAGAAGAAGCUACUGACUCCUCUCUCCUCUCUUCUCCUCCUCCGACGAACCCUAACUUCCACCCCUCAUUUCUCAAUCCCACACUUCCAAUCCCGCACCAAUUUCUCCCCCAAUAUCGAAAAGCUCCGCCCCCUUUUCCCGCUCCCCGGAUUUGAUUUUCCCGGCAAAUCUUUCAUCUCCUCCCAAUUUGGGGACAAACCCAAUUCCCCCCACUGCUGGAACUGCAGCGCUGCCGCUCAAACGACGCCGUUUCUGCUCUGCUCCUCCUGUCGGUGCAUCCAACCCGUCGAUCACUCCGUCGAUUACUUUCAGAUAUUUGGACUGGAGAGGAAGUAUGAUAGUGUGGAGGAACAUCUGGAGGGAAAAUAUAAGGAUUGGCAGAAAAAGUUGCACCCUGAUCUUGUUCAUUCAAAAUCAGAGAAGGAGAGAGAGUACGCUGCUGAACAGUCUGCUCGGGUGAUUGAUGCAUACCGCACGCUUAGCAAGCCCUUGGCGAGGGCAAUAUAUAUUCUGAAGCUUGAAGGUGUAGACAUCGAUGAAGAAGAGACACUUUCAGACUUAGAUUUGUUAAGUGAGAUUAUGGAAGUAAGGGAAGCUGUUGAAGAGGCUCCCAACUCUCAGGCUUUAAAUCAGAUUCAGUCUCUGAUGCAAGAGAAACUUAAGCAGUGGUCUAAUUCUUUUGCCGAGGCAUUUGAAAGCCGGAACUUUGAAGAAGCUGUGAAAGCUAUCCGGCGAAUGACUUACUAUGAGCGUGUAAAUGAAGAAAUUGUAAAGAGGCAAUGAAGGCUGGGGCGUGUGAGACUGAUAUGGUUCUUUUGCAAACAGAAUUUAAAUUCAUGAUAGGAAAGUACAAGCUCUAAUGAAGAAAGUGCAGGUUUUGAUUGAAGACCUGGUUGAGAUUGUUCUGGAUCCUUUUGAUACAUAAUAGAUAUUAGAGGAGCUGAUAUUCUAAAUAUUUUCAUGAUGGUUCAGACUUCAGAGAUGGAUUGUUUAUGCUACAGUUGUAUCUAGCAGGCGCUUGUAAGCCUAGGAGUUCAUGACUGAAUAAAAGAUACAUGAUGGUGUCAUUUGUUUACAAAAUAAUAAAGAAUUUAUUCUGGGUUUUACGUCAAACUCAAACUGUAAGGAGUCUUGUAUUACUUAUUGAUCCCGCCACCAAAGUUUAUCCUAGAUGAGAAAAUAUUUUAUCAGAUCAAUUUUAUCUUCAAAUUUAAGGACUCGA